rnacentral:rRNA from 1 species
UACGUAGGGGGCAAGCGUUGUCCGGAAUUAUUGGGCGUAAAGAGCGCGUAGGCGGUCCGAUAAGUCGGCUGUGAAAGUCAGGGGCUCAACCCUUGGAAGCCGGCCGAUACUGUCGGACUAGAGUCCGGAAGAGGAGAGUGGAAUUCCUGGUGUAGCGGUGAAAUGCGCAGAGUAUCCAGGAAGAACACCUAUGGCGAAGGCAGCUCUCUGGGACGGUACUGACGCGAGACGCGAAAGCGUGGGGAGCGAACA